rnacentral:rRNA from 1 species
GAACCUGCCUUAAGGUCGGGGAUAACAGUUGGAAACGACUGCUAAUACCGGAUGUGCCUACGGGUGAAAGAUUUAUUGCCUAAAGAUGGGCUCGCGUCUGAUUAGCUAGUUGGAGUGGUAAUGGCACACCAAGGCGACGAUCAGUAGCUGGUCUGAGAGGAUGAUCAGCCACACUGGGACUGAGACACGGCCCAGACUCCUACGGGAGGCAGCAGUGGGGAAUUUUCCGCAAUGGGCGAAAGCCUGACGGAGCAAUACCGCGUGAGGGAGGAAGGCUCUUGGGUUGUAAACCUCUUUUCUCAGGGAAGAAUGAUGACGGUACCUGAGGAAUAAGCAUCGGCUAACUCCGUGCCAGCAGCCGCGGUAAUACGGAGGAUGCAAGCGUUAUCCGGAAUGAUUGGGCGUAAAGCGUCCGCAGGUGGCAAUGUAAGUCUGCUGUCAAAGCGUCUGGCUCAACCAGAUAAAGGCAGUGGAAACUACAUAGCUAGAGUAAGGUAGGGGUAGAGGGAAUUCCUGGUGUAGCGGUGAAAUGCGUAGAGAUCAGGAAGAACACCGGUGGCGAAAGCGCUCUGCUGGACCUUAACCGACACUGAGGGACGAAAGCUAGGGGAGCG